GCCCCCUCAACCUUGUCAUAGGUCCAGCCUUCAACCCCGACUUGUCUCCUGGGUCAGCCCUGAGCCCUUUGGGGAUUCACAGAGACCAAAACCUUAGAAGAUGCUGCUCAGUUGGAUUGAAAUAUGCCUCUUGUGCUUUCUGCCACACACUCACCAACCACACACACACAAAGCAAGCUCUGGCUCCUUAACAAAGACAGUAUCUGUGGAAAGCUUCCUUAGUCUUGGAUGGAGAAGAAGAAUUUUCUCCUUGAGCUCUGCCUCUACACUUACAAUGGAAGCCAGCAAAGAAGACCAAUCUGAAGCAGAAGGAUCUCAAAUUCCCUCCCUACCUUCCUACAAAAAGCAAGGACCUCCAGACCUCAACCCCCAGCCGGCCCUGGUAACCCGACCUUACUCUCAGCUCUUUCUACAGGACCUGGGGAUGGUGAGAUCUGGAAAGAGAGGAGUGAGGGAAUGUGGAGACCACCCAGUGAUUGGUGAAAUGGGGACACUGAGAUGCAAGACUAAUAUGGAGAGAAUUCCACAUCUAGCCACCCCUCCCCACAAAGAGCCACAUUUCCAGGGGCUAGAGACUGGAAGUGGAGGGGGAAAUGGGGAGAUUGAACUUACCGUCCUGGGAAAUCUCAGCUCCACUGUGCAGAGACGCUUCUAACACAUCUCUCUCCCUUCCCUCCCUUGGAAGCCCCUAGAGGGCUUGGGCAGUCUUUGACAAACCAGCCGCCCUCCGGAGAAAAGCAAGAUCACCUCCGCCCUGAGGUCUCCUGGGUUCCGUGGCCGCCUUCUCCUCUGUCAUCUCCCUGGGUGAUGCCUCUCGGGUGCGGAAGCUGAACUUCCUGCGCUGCAGACUUGGGUACUCAGCGGGGCGCCCCCUUCUUGGCCCUCUGGCUCGGACUUUUCCUAGGGCUCUUAGCUCAAGGCCUGACUCCAGGCUCCCAGAAGUCGCGGGGGUGGGUGGGGAGGGAGCAGAGCAAGAGGAAGUCGAUUCGGACAGCCACAGUCCUGGUCCUCCCGGGUGCAACUGGAGACUGCCCAGGGCUGGGAGGACAGAAGGACCUACGGGUGGCAGCUAUCCAUGGUCCUGGCCGACAUCAAAGCGUGGAUGUCUAAGGCCAACAGCAGCCCAGCCGUAUUACAGUAAAACGGGUAAAGCAGUAAAACGGAGCUAUGGUAUUGGAAUUGGUUUUAAUUAACCCAGUUGCAGGCAGGCUAAUUAAGGUCUGAGUGCCGCGUUUCCGCACCUUCCCAACCAUGUGCCAAUUGUCAGGGUGAAUCUGAAAGUCUUUCCACUUCCUGCUAGUACUAUCUCCCCUUGUGAAUUAAAAAGAUGUUGAUGCCUCCCACUCUCUUAGCCUGCCUCCUCCGAUUCCUCCUCCAGCACCAUUCCCAGUUCAGGCAGAAAAGCCACAUGGCCCUUUCCUGCUUUACUCGCAAUCCCCAAGCCCCUGAAACUGGUCCUGAAAGUUUCAGGGUGGAAUGAAUUUGGGAUUGGCUUAAAAUUCACUGCCCUGGCCUGUAAGUCCAGGGGAUGAAGCUUUAAUUUUGUCAAAUAAAAACCGGAUCUUUGGGUCAGUGAGGUUUGAACCCCUUAAAGUGACAUAUAUACACUGCUGCUAAGUCAGUGAUUCCCCGUGCUGGGAGUGGGUGCUGUCCGCGGUGCUGAGACACUCACCUUCGGGAGGCUUAGAUAAGUAGGGCCCUUUCCCUUCACUUACAC
ensembl:lncRNA